rnacentral:rRNA from 1 species
CAGUCGCCACGGUAAUACAGAGGGUGCGAGCGCUAAUCGGAUUUACUGGGCGUAAAGCGUGCGUAGGCGGCUUCUUAAGUCGGAUGUGAAAUCCCUGAGCUUAACUUAGGAAUUGCAUUCGAUACUGGGAAGCUAGAGUAUGGGAGAGGAUGGUAGAAUUCCAGGUGUAGCGGUGAAAUGCGUAGAGAUCUGGAGGAAUACCGAUGGCGAAGGCAGCCAUCUGGCCUAAUACUGACGCUGAGGUACGAAAGCAUGGGGAGCAAACAGGAUUAGAUACCCCCGUAGUCCCUGUCUCUUAUAC